rnacentral:rRNA from 1 species
AGGUGUGGGACCCAUUCCACGGGUUCCGUGCCGCAGCUAACGCAUUAAGCGCCCCGCCUGGGGAGUACGGCCGCAAGGCUAAAACUCAAAGGAAUUGACGGGGGCCCGCACAAGCGGCGGAGCAUGCGGAUUAAUUCGAUGCAACGCGAAGAACCUUACCAAGGCUUGACAUACACCGGAAACAUCCAGAGAUGGGUGCCCCGCAAGGUCGGUGUACAGGUGGUGCAUGGUUGUCGU